GACGAACGCUGGCGGCGUGCUUAACACAUGCAAGUCGAGCGGAGCGGCGAACGGGUGAGUAACGCGUGAGUAACUGCCCCCCUCUCUGGGAUAACAGUUGGAAACGGCUGCUAAUACCGGAUAGUGGGGGAUGACUCGCGUCCUAUCAGCUGGUUGGUGGGGUAUUGGCCUCCCAAGGCGACGACGGGUAGCCGGCCUGAGAGGGCGACCGGCCACAUUGGGCUGAGAGACGGCGCAAAAUCCUACGGGCGGCAGCAGUGGGGAAUAUUGCACAAUGAGGGAAACCCUGAUGCAGAAACGCCGCGUGCGGGAUGACGGCCUGCUAGGUGUGAACCGCUUUCAGCCAUGACGCGGUAGUGGCAGAAGAAGCACCGGCUAACUACGUGCCAGCAGCCGCGUUAUUC
rnacentral:rRNA from 1 species